rnacentral:rRNA from 1 species
UACAGAGGGUGCAAGCGUUGUUCGGAAUUAUUGGGCGUAAAGGGUGCGUAGGCGGUGCGGUAAGUCUGUAGUGAAAUCUCUGGGCUCAACUCAGAGUCUGCUAUAGAAACUGCCGUGCUUGAGUGUGGGAGAGGUGAGUGGAAUUCCCGGUGUAGCGGUGAAAUGCGUAGAUAUCAGGAGGAACACCUGCGGUGUAGACGGCUUUCUGGACCAUUGUUGACGCUGAGACACGAAAGCGUGGGUAGCAAACAGG